GAAGCGAACGGAACUCUUCGGAGGGAAGUUCGUGGAACGAGCGGCGGACGGGUGAGUAACACGUAGGCAACCUGCCUGUAAGACUGGGAUAACUCGCGGAAACGCGAGCUAAUACCGGAUAACACUUUCUAUCACCUGAUGGAAAGUUGAAAGGCGGCUUUUGCUGUCACUUACAGAUGGGCCUGCGGCGCAUUAGCUAGUUGGUGAGGUAACGGCUCACCAAGGCGACGAUGCGUAGCCGACCUGAGAGGGUGAUCGGCCACACUGGGACUGAGACACGGCCCAGACUCCUACGGGAGGCAGCAGUAGGGAAUCUUCCGCAAUGGACGAAAGUCUGACGGAGCAACGCCGCGUGAGUGAUGAAGGUUUUCGGAUCGUAAAACUCUGUUGUCAGGGAAGAACAAGUACGAUAGUAACUGAUCGUACCUUGACGGUACCUGACCAGAAAGCCACGGCUAACUACGUGCCAGCAGCCGCGGUAAUACGUAGGUGGCAAGCGUUGUCCGGAAUUAUUGGGCGUAAAGCGCUCGCAGGCGGUUCUUUAAGUCUGAUGUGAAAUCUUGCGGCUCAACCGCAAACGUGCAUUGGAAACUGGAGGACUUGAGUGCAGAAGAGGAGAGUGGAAUUCCACGUGUAGCGGUGAAAUGCGUAGAGAUGUGGAGGAACACCAGUGGCGAAGGCGACUCUCUGGUCUGUAACUGACGCUGAGGAGCGAAAGCGUGGGGAGCGAACAGGAUUAGAUACCCUGGUAGUCCACGCCGUAAACGAUGAGUGCUAGGUGUUAGGGGGUUUCCGCCCCUUAGUGCUGAAGUUA
rnacentral:rRNA from 2 species